rnacentral:hammerhead_ribozyme from 1 species
AUCCAGCCGACGAGUCUCAAAUAGGACGAAAUGAACGUUCUGGAU